rnacentral:tRNA from 1 species
GUUUAAAUAGUUUAAAAAAAACAUAGCACUUUCAUUGUUAAAUCGGAAAAUAUCCUUUAAAUG